rnacentral:lncRNA from 1 species
ACUCAUAGGUAUGCUAUACCUGCAUUUCAUCAUAAUUAACCAACCACUAAACACUAAUUAGUAUUAUAAUAAUAUUUGUGAUGAUUUUCUGUGUCAUAGUUAACAAAAACUGUUGAUUCAAAGAAUAAUUUGAUUAUUGGAUCACUUUCUCACAAGAUUGCAAGUUUCAUAAAUUUACAAUGUCUUACUGUUUGUUCAACCGUUAAAUCAAUCAGAACAAGAAAUAUGCAAAAGAAAAACUUUGAACUAAAGUAUGGUGGAAUCAUAUACUUAGUAAUUCAUUUGUCAGUAGGCAUAUGCAAAUGUUAAUAUCUGUUAUUGCAUUUCAUAUGCAAAGAUUUUCCAACUGCUAUAUGUUUGGUUUCACUUCUACAAACACUCAACUCGCAUUCAAACGCCAAUCGACCGUGAUAGCUUUGAUACUAACGCGCGUUGAACACACACCCGCGGCAAAAAUAAACAAGCAUUUCAAUCUACACGGAGUAUCCAGCUUGAAUACCGUUACUCUCCACAAAAUAAAAGACGGUAACAUGAAAAUGCAAUCAAUUUAAAACACAAUCACACAUGAA